GCAUCCUUAGCUCAGUUGGUAGAGCAAAUGACUCUUAAUCAUUAGGCCUGGGGUUCGAGCCCCCAAGGAUGCA
rnacentral:tRNA from 1 species